GAUGAACGCUGGCGGCGUGCCUAAUACAUGCAAGUCGAGCGAACGGACGAGAAGCUUGCUUCUCUGAUGUUAGCGGCGGACGGGUGAGUAACACGUGGAUAACCUACCUAUAAGACUGGGAUAACUUCGGGAAACCGGAGCUAAUACCGGAUAAUAUUUUGAACCGCAUGGUUCAAAAGUGAAAGACGGUCUUGCUGUCACUUAUAGAUGGAUCCGCGCUGCAUUAGCUAGUUGGUAAGGUAACGGCUUACCAAGGCAACGAUGCAUAGCCGACCUGAGAGGGUGAUCGGCCACACUGGAACUGAGACACGGUCCAGACUCCUACGGGAGGCAGCAGUAGGGAAUCUUCCGCAAUGGGCGAAAGCCUGACGGAGCAACGCCGCGUGAGUGAUGAAGGUCUUCGGAUCGUAAAACUCUGUUAUUAGGGAAGAACAUAUGUGUAAGUAACUGUGCACAUCUUGACGGUACCUAAUCAGAAAGCCACGGCUAACUACGUGCCAGCAGCCGCGGUAAUACGUAGGUGGCAAGCGUUAUCCGGAAUUAUUGGGCGUAAAGCGCGCGUAGGCGGUUUUUUAAGUCUGAUGUGAAAGCCCACGGCUCAACCGUGGAGGGUCAUUGGAAACUGGAAAACUUGAGUGCAGAAGAGGAAAGUGGAAUUCCAUGUGUAGCGGUGAAAUGCGCAGAGAUAUGGAGGAACACCAGUGGCGAAGGCGACUUUCUGGUCUGUAACUGACGCUGAUGUGCGAAAGCGUGGGGAUCAAACAGGAUUAGAUACCUUGGUAGUCCACGCCGUAAAGAUGAGUGCUAAGUGUUAGGGGGUUUCCGCCCCUUAGUGCUGCAGCUAACGCAUUAAGCACUCCGCCUAGGGAGUACGACCGCAAGGUUGAAACUCAAAGGAAUUGACGGGGACCCGCACAAGCGGUGGAGCAUGUGGUUUAAUUCGAAGCAACGCGAAGAACCUUACCAAAUCUUGACAUCCUUUGACAACUCUAGAGAUAGAGCCUUCCCCUUCGGGGGGGCAAAGUGACAGGUGGUGCAUGGUUGUCGUCAGCUCGUGUCGUGAGAUGUUGGGUUAAGUCCCGCAACGAGCGCAACCCUUAAGCUUAGUUGCCAUCAUUAAGUUGGGCACUCUAAGUUGACUGCCGGUGACAAACCGGAGGAAGGUGGGGAUGACGUCAAAUCAUCAUGCCCCUUAUGAUUUGGGCUACACACGUGCUACAAUGGACAAUACAAAGGGCAGCGAAACCGCGAGGUCAAGCAAAUCCCAUAAAGUUGUUCUCAGUUCGGAUUGUAGUCUGCAACUCGACUACAUGAAGCUGGAAUCGCUAGUAAUCGUAGAUCAGCAUGCUACGGUGAAUACGUUCCCGGGUCU
rnacentral:rRNA from 1 species